rnacentral:lncRNA from 1 species
UCAAUGACCAAAGCACAAUAUGACAUCUGAAAGGGACCGUCUUCCCUCAUAAUACUUCAUGGAAUGUGUGGGACAAUCUAGAAGUCCAGACUGUGGAACAAAAUGGAUCUGUGGACCAUUUUCCUGCAGUGGCCUUGAGAAGGGAUUUGACAAGCACUCUCACAUAUACUGAGAUAACAAGCCAGGAAUACAAAAAGUCAUGGCAGCUAUUGUUCAUUAUUGGUCCUUCAUUCCUAGUGCUUACCAAAUAUUUGCAUGUGAAAAUAACCGAAAGAAAAGCACCAUACAGACCUGGAUGUUUCUAUCAAAACUAGAGAAAAAAAUUAAAAUAAGCCCUCCUGCCCCACUUAAAAAAAAAUCAACAAUAAGGAUUCUUCUUUUUAUUUCUGGUAAAUAAGGAAUGAGUAUGACUCAGCUCCCUUACCCCUAAAUAUACAAUGUGAAAAAUACUCUCUGCAGUGUGAGGUUCCUAAUGGGCUGCAUGUGUCUUCUGGCUGCCUCUACCAACGUGACUGUUGAAAACACUGGGUUAUGUCCUUUUCCAGACUCAUCCAAAAGGAAUAAAACAGAACAUUAAAGGUCCA